AUUCCACUAAUCAUUUGGCCAUCGACAAAUAAAAAAAAACGAUUCAUCUUUAUUUUUUUUCUUGAUGGAAGGAAUGUUAAAAGCAUGGGUAAAUGAAGUCUCUAUUCAGUGUACAACAUCGGACCUGCCAUCCUUUGACAACUCCGUUUCAUAAUCAUUGUAGAGAUCCAAAAGUGCUUUGUAACUGAUUUUCAUGUAAUCAGGGAGCCGAUCAAUUUGGCUAAUAUCCCACCUAAUAAAUGAAAAAGCAAAUGAAUUUGAUAAGUUUAUCAGUUUAACAGAACAUA